AUGGAAAAAGACAUUGUAGCUAACGUGGAGGUUCUGACGACCCAGGCAAGUGACACAGAUUCAGCUGCAGCAGCCACAGGAGCCCCGCCUACAGUCCAGACUCCACUUGAAGAUGCUACUCUCGCUGCAAGCAGUGGGGCAAAUGUGGGGCAGAAAAGCAUGGGUCAAAGAGAGAAUGACGAGAUGGAAAAAAUGUCUGUUCUUAGUUUGUAUCCCAGUGCAGAGGCUGAUGCCCCACGCCCACAUGCUGCUCCUGUUCUUCAUGCAUGGCAGGGGGCUGACAGGCAGGGAAACGUAGGGAAGAAAAACAGCCGUAAAAGGAGGAAUAGAAAGGAAAAUAAGAUUGUGUAUUUUCCUUGGUCUCUGACACUACAGACUCAGGCAUCAUCUGCAGCCCCAGUUCUGGGUCAGACUUGUGUCACAGGGGCUUUGUCAGUUGCUGAUACUGGUAUGGAUGUGGGACAUGAAACCAGGCAGCAAAGGAGGAAUGGUGAGAAGGAAAAGGCAUCAGUUCUCACUCAGCCUUGGAAGGCACCAGCUAGCGCUCUGUUGCCAGAAGCAAGUACAGUUCAGCCCUCUCUUGAGGGGGCCUCUCUGGCAGACAGUGGGGAGACAAUGGUAGAGCAGAAAAGCAGGCAUAAGGGGAUAGAUAAAAACAGAAAGAUCCUGGCUAGACCUUGGCCUUUGACAGUACAGGCUUGGGUGUCUUUCAAAGGCCGAACUCAGGUACAGAAGGCUUUUGCAGGGGCUUCACAAUUCGCUAAUGAUGACGUCAAUGGGGAACCUAGAAGCAGGGGUCAAAAGAGUGAGAUCGAUAAAACAUCAGUUGUUACUUCGUAUCAAAGCGCACAGGCUGGUACCCCGCGCUCAGCUGUGGUUCUGGGGCAGGCUUCAUUGGAGGAAGCACCCCUCACUAACAGUGGGGGAAACUUAGAGAAGAAAAGCAGACAGAAGAAGAGGAAUAUAAGGAACAAAAGUGUCUUGGCUCAUCCUUGGCCUCUGACAGUACAAGCUUGGGCAUCAUUCACAGCCAGAGAUCCAGUUCCGAGCAAGUCUUCUGCUGCAAGUAUGGGGGUGAAUGUGGGGCAGAAAAUCUGGCCUCAACGGGAGAAUAGUGAGGAAAAAACAAAGUCCAUUCUUCCUCAGCCUGUGGGGGGCCAGGCUGGUAUCCCCUUCUCAGCAACAGCUCCAGGACAGGCUCCACUUGAGGAGUCUCCUUCUCUGGAAGAUGUACAUUCCAACCUGAGCUGA
rnacentral:lncRNA from 1 species